AACCCCGCUGCACACACAGUUCAUUGCGGUGGUGCCACUGUAAGCAGAGGCGUUACGUGCUGCUGUGCUAUGCCCUCCUCCCCUGGCGCCCCGUUUAAAGGAAUCCGUUUGCACUGCAGUGGGUUGAGUCCGUCGCAGUUGCAAGGAGGAGACGAGAAGCGCACACUCUGGUAAGAGCCACGGCCACUGCAAGAACGGGAUUGUCUGCUGGCUCUACUGCCUCACAAGCUCUCGAAAGCCAGAUAACACUUGCCAUGAUCUUUACUGUGUCCGUUCACAGAAAUGGGACAGCCAUUGUCACCUCUCCUGGGACUGUCACUCUUGGCACCCUCUUCUCACACACACAGGAAUAUUCUCCUAAAUACAUCUCUUACCACCACUCUUUUCAGCAAUUAGGGAAUUCAACUACAUUACUUAGAUGUUCUGAACCUCUCCCCUUUGGGCCAAAACAACUGCCAUUAACUGCCAACUCCAAGAACAGAGGCUUCCCAUUGGAGCAUCAGUUUGUCAAUCAACCAACUCAGGGAGUGGGACUCUUUCUUUCCCAUGAGAGCUGCACACGUCAAACGAAAGGUGUGCUUUUUUUCACCAGUUUAGGUAAACGGGUGAACUUUGUGCAGAGCACCAUUAUAUCAGUUUUAGAGCAUCUUAAAGCAACUCAUCGUAUGCCAUUUUGUAACUGACAUAAACUAAACCAAUUUAAGACAUUGAAACCAAUUUACGUGUGUCCAUAUUAGGGAGGGAGUCACUUCAAUUUAAUUAAAUAGUUUUAGAAACUGAUUUAGUUAAAUGGCGCACAAAAUGUGUGUAGACAAGGCCUCUUUUGCCAGCAGAGCAGAUAAAUCCACUAGGAUAGGGUG